CUCCUGCUCCCCACGCCAACUCCUAGGCUCCUUCCUCCUCUUCUCCGCCUCCUCCUCCUCCUCCUCGCACGCCGGUGCUACUGUAAUACAGAAUGACAGCAUCAAUGCUAGCUAAGGUUCAACAUAAUGAGGCAUGAAUGCUGCAUAAGGACCAGCAGCAAGCUAGAAAAUGAAAAGCGACUGGCUAUUUCCUCAACAACUUUGUGAAGUGGAAGGCUAGUUCUUCUACAAUUGCUGGUCCUUUGGUUUCUGGCAAUAUAAAAAUGUUGUUCUAUAACACACAACUGCACCAUACUCCCAAAUUUCCCAAUUUAGCAGACAGUCCUUCUUAAUCCGAGCCACAGAUCCCCACCGGCUUGGCUGAGGUGGUUCAGGACUGCUUCGGAAAUGAGGGAAUACAGUUUCACAAAACUCUGGAUUCACUUAGGCGUCUUUCAGAAAAAACUUAUUGACCUAAUUUGAGUUGAUUUAGUGAAAAGCUCUCAGUGGUACUGGGAAUGGGAUUGAAGAGGGAGGGCCCUAAAAUGCCCUCCCUUCUAGCUCAUACUGCAUUUGAGAAAAAUAGCAAUAAAAUGCCUGGAUAAAAAUGCUUAGCAGUAAUACAA